GAUGAACGCUGGCGGCGUGCCUAAUACAUGCAAGUCGAGCGAAUGAUGAGGAGCUUGCUCCUCUGAUUUAGCGGCGGACGGGUGAGUAACACGUGGGUAACCUGCCUGUAAGAUGGGGAUAACUCCGGGAAACCGGGGCUAAUACCGAAUAAUAAAAGAAGAAGCAUUUCUUCUUUUUGAAAGUUGGUUUCGGCUAACACUUACAGAUGGGCCCGCGGCGCAUUAGCUAGUUGGUGAGGUAACGGCUCACCAAGGCGACGAUGCGUAGCCGACCUGGGAGGGUGAUCGGCCACACUGGGACUGAGACAAGGCCCAGACUCAUACGGGAGGCAGCAGUAGGGAAUCUUCGGCAAGGGGCGAAAGCCUGACCGAGCAACGCCGCGUGAGCGAGGAAGGCCUUCGGGUCGUAAAGCUCUGUUGUCAGGGAAGAACAAGUACGAGAGUAACUGCUCGUACCUUGACGGUACCUGACCAGAAAGCCACGGCUAACUACGUGCCAGCCGCCGCCGUAAAAC
rnacentral:rRNA from 1 species